ensembl:lncRNA
CGGAAGGGACGGAGGCAGGAGAGUCAGCACGUCCCACUUUUUAUACCUUCACACUGCGUGAAAAGUUUGAAUAUUUAACGUCUAUCGCAAUAUGUCACUCGGUUGAGUCCGACGACUUAUCUCCAGAGCGCGGGUGGGACUUCGUCUGUGAUUAAAACACCCUUUGUAGGAUGGCUGACUAACUGUUCGAGCAAGAGUGAAGCUAUAUAGCACCAAAUUAAUGAAAGAAGGAUUAGGUGAUUAAAGGUUCAUAUUGGAUAACACGUCGUGGUAUUCUUCGCAAGGAAAAUAUGGUUACAAUGCGCAUAAACAGUUGUAUUUUCCAUGGAGCAUCGCUGCCAGAAGAUACUUUGCUUGCGAAGCAGUGACGCUUUAUCCGGAGAGGAAUAUCCACAGAGUCCGGAGCUGCCGCGUCUGCUCCUCCGUGGAAGUUGUGGUGUGGAAAAGCAUUUGGGAAUAAGAUGGAUCUGCGCCCUGUCAUGUUACCGGUUCGAUGGCUUAUUCUCCUGAUGCUUCUCUCGUGCAGAGCCUCUCUGCCAGGCUGGAUGUGAAGCGAGGCUGGGGAAGAGACCAGACUGACCCAGCACACACAGGCGUGCUGCAGACUGCAGUCUGUCAGUCUACCUCCUGCUGAGCCCAGUCCCACGGGUUAUGGGAUGGGUCUGGGCCUCCUGCCGUCAUGAGUCUGUGUGUGUGUGUGUGUGUGUGGGG